rnacentral:rRNA from 1 species
CAAGUCGAACGCGAAAGUCCCCUUCGGGGGGCGAGUAGAGUGGCGCACGGGUGAGUAACACGUAGGUAAUCUACCUUUGGAUUGGGAAUAACAACCGGAAACGGUUGCUAAUACCGAAUAAUGCAGCGGCACCUAGUGGUGACAGUUGUUAAAGCGGGGGAUCGCAAGACCUCGCGUCUGAAGAGGAGCCUGCGGCAGAUUAGCUAGUUGGUAAGGUAACGGCUUACCAAGGCGAUGAUCUGUAGCCGGCCUGAGAGGGCGGUCGGCCACACUGACACUGACAUACGGGCCAGACUCCUACGGGAGGCAGCAGUCGGGAAUUUUGGGCAAUGGGCGAAAGCCUGACCCAGCAACGCCGCGUGAAGGAUGAAAUCCUUCGGGAUGUAGACUUCGCAAGAACGGGAAGAAUAAGUAAGAGUUAAUAUCUCUUAUGAUGACGGUACUGUUUGUAAGCUCCGGCUAACUCCGUGCCAGCAGCCGCGGUAAUACGGGGGGAGCAAGCGUUGUUCGGAUUUACUGGGCGUAAAGGGCGCGUAGGCGGCCACCGCAAGUCGACUGUGAAAUCUCCGGGCUUAACCCGGAAAGGUCAGCCGAUACUGCGGGGCUAGAGUGCAGAAGGGGCAACUGGAAUUCUCGGUGUAGCGGUGAAAUGCGUAGAUAUCGAGAGGAACACCUGCGGCGAAAGCGGGUUGCUGGGCUGACACUGACGCUGAUGCGCGAAAGCUAGGGGAGCGAACGGGAUUAGAUACCCCGGUAGUCCUAGCCUUAAACGAUGAAUGCUUGGUGUCUGGGGUUUUAUAGUCCCCCGGGUGCCGUCGCUAACGCUUUAAGCAUUCCGCCCGGGGAGUACGGUCGCCAGACUGAAACUCAAAGGAAUUGACGGGGA